AGUGAGAGGAAGGGGUAUAGCAGGGGUGAGUGGAGUGCAGUGAGAGGAAGGGGUAUAGCAGGGGUGAGUGCAGUGUAGUGAGAGGAAGGUAUAUAGCAGGGGUGAGUGGAGUGUAGUGAGAGGAAGGGGUAUAGCAGGGGUGAGUGUAGUGUAGUGAGAGGAAGGGGUAUACCAGGGGUGAGUGGAGUGUAGUGAGAGGAAGGUAUAUAGCAGGGGUGAGUGGAGUGCAGUGAGAGGAAGGUAUAUAUAGCAGGGGUGAGUGGAGUGCAGUGAGAGGAAGGGGUAUAGCAGGGGUGAGUGGAGUGUAGUGAGAGGAAGGUAUAUAGCAGGGGUGAGUGGAGUGUAGUGAGAGGAAGGUAUAUAGCAGGGGUGAGUGGAGUGCAGUAAGAGGAAGGUAUAUAUAGCAGGGGUGAGUGGAGUGCAGUGAGAGGAAGGGGUAUAGCAGGGGUGAGUGGAGUGCAGUGAGAGGAAGGGGAAUAGUAGGGGUGAGUGGAGUGCAGUGAGAAGAAGGGGUAUAGCAGGGGUGAGUGGAGUGCAGUGAGAGGAAGGUGUAUAGCAGGGGUGAGUGGAGUGCAGUGAGAGGAAGGGGUAUAGCAGGGGCGAGUGGAGUGCAGGGAGAGGAAGGGGUACAGCAGGGGCGAGUGGAGUGCAGGGAGAGGAAGGGGUACAGCAGGGGUUAGUGGAGGGCAGUAAUAGAUUUUUUGAGGCAAACAAUGUGCAGUCUAGAGAUGUUCUUGGAGUUGAUUAGUCAUCAAUAUCUUAAUACAAAGUGCUCUUUACAUAGAAUCUGUUACCUAUAAAGUACCCCGUGCAUUUAACAGUGAGUAUUGCUACCAGCUAGAGGCCGUAUCUUUAAAUUAUCUGCUGGAACCAGUUAUCUGAGGAUGCUCUGCUGGCCUUAGACCUCACGGACCCCAGGCAGAGACUUCAUGGGUACAGAUUCCAGGAGGAAGAGCCCUCAGUGACUGUGACAUGGAGUGGAUACUUUUCCAGUGAGUGUCAGUAGAACCACAGCUCCACGAAUGGAGGGAACACCAUUGGCCCCAGCAUUUCUGGGUCUUGAUGCCCUGCUGGACCUAAUGCUAUGUGUAUGCCAUGAGCUGGUUACAUCUCCUCUGGCCCACGAGACACACAUCUCUGAAUUCCUGAGCUGGGGUGAGUGUUCGCUUGGCUAGCUGGGCAUCAUAGGAAACGUAGUCCUCAUCAGCUGGUGUACUCCCAGUUUUUGUACUACGAGAUCUGAUGCGAUGCUUUAUGUUUUUUUUUUGUUUUUUUUUUAAAUGUUUCCCCUUUUUCUGUCUUUUCAAAAACAGCUGGAAGGCAUAGGAUGUAUUUUAAUAAGGGCACAAGCUAUAACAGCUGUAUAGAAAAAAUGCCACAAUAGUGAGCCCUAAGUCCAGUGGGCGCAGUAUGUAGAAAGAUCUCCAAAUGUUUUAGUAAUGUCAAAGGGAAAAAAUAAUCUAUUUCUAGGUUGGCAAAUACUGUGCAUAUUUUUGUAAAAUAGUUUGACUGCAACAAAACUUUCUAGAACAAUUUUCUUAUUUUAAGGGACGACACUCUAGUGUUUUGCUAAAAUGUAGUGGUUUAAUUAUACCGUACAUUUGUUUAG